UGAGGAAUAUUGGACAAUGGAGGCAACUCUGAUCCAGCCAUGCCGCGUGAAGGACUAAGGCCCUAUGGGUCGUAAACUUCUUUUGACGCAGAGCAAUAAGGAUUACGUGUAGUCUGAUGAGAGUAUGCGUCGAAUAAGCAUCGGCUAACUCCGUGCCAGCAGCCGCGGUAAUACGGAGGAUGCAAGCGUUAUCCGGAUUUAUUGGGUUUAAAAGGUGCGUAGGCGGAUGGGUAAGUCAGCGGUGAAAGCCCGGUGCUCAACACCGGAACUGCCAUUGAUACUGUUGCGCUGGAAUACGGAUGCCGUGGGAGGAAUGAGUAGUGUAGCGGUGAAAUGCGUAGAUAUUACUCAGAACACCGAUUGCGAAGGCAUCUCACGAAUCCGUCAUUGACGCUGAGGCACGAAAGC
rnacentral:rRNA from 1 species